CAACAAUCCUUCGGGUGCGUUGGUGGGCGGCGAGCGGCGGACGGGUGAGUAAUGCCUGGGAAUAUGCCCUGAUGUGGGGGAUAACUAUUGGAAACGAUAGCUAAUACCGCAUAAUCUCUUCGGAGCAAAGAGGGGGACCUUCGGGCCUCUCGCGUCAGGAUUAGCCCAGGUGGGAUUAGCUAGUUGGUGGGGUAACGGCUCACCAAGGCGACGAUCCCUAGCUGGUCUGAGAGGAUGAUCAGCCACACUGGAACUGAGACACGGUCCAGACUCCUACGGGAGGCAGCAGUGGGGAAUAUUGCACAAUGGGGGAAACCCUGAUGCAGCCAUGCCGCGUGUGUGAAGAAGGCCUUCGGGUUGUAAAGCACUUUCAGUCGUGAGGAAGGGGUAGUCAUUAAUAGUGGUUAUCUUUGACGUUAGCGACAGAAGAAGCACCGGCUAACUCCGUGCCAGCAGCCGCGGUAAUACGGAGGGUGCGAGCGUUAAUCGGAAUUACUGGGCGUAAAGCGCAUGCAGGCGGCUUGUUAAGCCAGAUGUGAAAGCCCGGGGCUCAACCUCGGAAUAGCAUUUGGAACUGGCAGGCUAGAGUCUUGUAGAGGGGGGUAGAAUUUCAGGUGUAGCGGUGAAAUGCGUAGAGAUCUGAAGGAAUACCGGUGGCGAAGGCGGCCCCCUGGACAAAGACUGACGCUCAGAUGCGAAAGCGUGGGGAGCAAACAGGAUUAGAUACCCUGGUAGUCCACGCCGUAAACGAUGUCUACUUGGAGGCUGUGACCUAGAGUCGUGGCUUUCGGAGCUAACGCGUUAAGUAGACCGCCUGGGGAGUACGGUCGCAAGAUUAAAACUCAAAUGAAUUGACGGGGGCCCGCACAAGCGGUGGAGCAUGUGGUUUAAUUCGAUGCAACGCGAAGAACCUUACCUACUCUUGACAUCCA
rnacentral:rRNA from 1 species